rnacentral:snoRNA from 2 species
CUGCAAGGAUGAUUUAAGAACUGAACUCUCUCUUUCUGAUGGCUCCAUGGAGAAAGCAGAAAUUCUGAGUAGC